rnacentral:rRNA from 1 species
AUUGCCCGCUGGCGGAAGGCUUAACACAUGCAAGUCGAACGGGUGGCGGACGGGUGCGUAAUGCUUGGGACUCUAGCUUAUGGAGGGGGAUAACUACGGGCAACUGUAGCUAAUACCGCGUACAAUAGGAUGAGCCCAAGUGGGAUUUGGUAGUUGGUGGGGUAAAGGCUCACCAAGCCGACGAUCUCUAGCUGUUCUGAGAGGAUGACCAGCCACACUGGGACUGAGACACGGCCCAGACUCCUACGGGAGGCAGCAGUGGGGAAUAUUGCGCAAUGGGGGCAACCUGACGCAGCCAUGCCGCGUGAAUGAAGAAGGCCUUCGGGUUGUAAAGUUCUUUCGGUAGCGAGGCGUUAACUACAGAAGAAGCACCGGCUAACUCCGUGCCAGCAGCCGCGGUAAUUC